rnacentral:lncRNA from 1 species
GAAGGAGAUGGUGAAGUGAUGGGUGAUGGGGUUGGAGCCGUUGAAGGAGCUGGAGUUGGAGAUGGGUUUGGGGUUGGGGUUGGAGAUAGGGUUGGUGUUGGCGUUGGUGUUGCUGUUGGGGAAGGUGUUGGAGUAGCAACUGGCGAUGCUGUUGGGGAAGGCGUUGGAGUAGCAGCUGGCGAUGGUGAAGAUUUUGGAGAGGGAGUUGGUGAAGGUGUUGGUGCUUGAGCCAUGCAAGAGAUGGCCAAAAUACCCAAGAUCAUCAAAACCUUAAACAUUGUAGAA